UACGUAGGGGGCGAGCGUUGUCCGGAAUUAUUGGGCGUAAAGAGCUCGUAGGCGGUUUGUCGCGUCUGCUGUGAAAGACCGGGGCUCAACUCCGGUUCUGCAGUGGGUACGGGCAGACUAGAGUGAUGUAGGGGAGACUGGAAUUCCUGGUGUAGCGGUGAAAUGCGCAGAUAUCAGGAGGAACACCGAUGGCGAAGGCGGCAUCCUGGACCAACACUGACGCUGAGGAGCGAAAGCCAGGGGAGCAAACGGG
rnacentral:rRNA from 1 species